GCGAUACCUGUGUAGAGACACGGUGCAGGGAGGAUCAAGCUUCGACGGCACCGCGACUGUGGCAUCUGACAGUUUUACUAUCAUAUACUGUGUGCAGAGAUGAAACUGGGACAUGUUGCCCUCACCUGUGGUCUCCACUAACAUGGCUCCAGACGCGGACGCGUCGCUUCGGUUCUGUAUCUCCUGCUUGGUGUGUCAGCAUGUCUGGCCGCCGUGUGCUUCUGCCUCUGUGCAUGUUCAUCCUGUGCAGACAGAACAGCGGAGAAGGGCCGGCGUGCUCUAUUAAGAGAUGAGAAGCUGCAGAUGAGCCCAAUGUCAAGCUGUCACAGCGCGGAUGAGUCACAAGCAGGACUCAUGAAUCAUUCAAGCGUCUUUCUCAGGCGUGAGCCCACUCGCGGAGCCGCAGGUGAACUGUAAACCCCGCUCGUCUUCCCCGUGAGCCGUCCUCUCCUGUGACUGAUGGCGAAGCAAAGGUCCGCCUCCACGCUCGCCUGGAAUAGCAAGCGCCCCUCGACCUUCUCAACUUUUCCACAGGGCCCUGGGGAACGCCGCCGCUUCGCCGCAGCUCCCUGCUCCUCCGUCGGGGACGUUUGAAGCUCCGCGUCUCCUGCCCCUCAGGACCCUCCCGUCCCGAAUCCACCUGCUGAGUGAAUGACUUUGUUGAUUUUCAAAGACAGAUUGAACCAACGGUGUGCUGAUAAUCAACUGUCCCUGCAGCACCCGGGGAACGCUCCCCUGAGGAGCCCGCUCUUAAACACACACUUCCUCUGCUGGAGGAAACAAACCACAUUAAGUUUCAAGCGUGAGCGGAAACUUCAGAAGUCAGAGAGUGAAAGCGUUGACCUACUUGUUCCUUGCAGGAAAAGUAAUCACUAAAAGAAAUCAGCCAUGACUCUUUAUUUGCUCCUUCAUGAAAUCAUAUUUUCAGUCUGCAUUAAAUAAGGUAUUUGUCAGCCUGUUCCACUGCCUCAGGAAGACAACACACAGCUUUUAUAUAAUCAUGGGUGAAGACCUCUGAGCUGUGGGGCUUCAACACGCAGGUCUGAGCUCCGUGCACGAAACAUGUGGGCAAGAGGUGAACGUCGAUCUGCAACCAUCCAGGACAGAGCAGUGAUGAAGAAGUCUUCAGCCAUGAGGAUGAUUCCUUACAAAGGUUCAGAACAGGACCGAGCGGGUCCAGGGCGUCGGGUCCAAGUGAGCUCACCUCCAACUCUGCUCAUCUUUACAGUAACCACUUUAAUGUCUGUCCGUAGCUUGGGUGGUCUUUUCCUCAUCCAUCCGCACCACAUUUGUGUAGAUCCAUUCAACUCGGCUCACAGAUACAAGGCUUCAGAACCGACGCUGUUCUCCCUGCUUCCAAACAGCCUGAGCGUGUGGUUUGGGGCUGGAGCGCAGUUCUUCCCUCUCUGUAUUUCUACAGGCGUGAGAUGAAGCGGAGGCACAUGUCUUCACCACCCACAGACACAGAGCGGCCUCCGAGGACCGCAGCUACAGAAGUUCAUGUAACAAGAAGAAACGUGUUCAGAGUUUUACUUUAAAAACAAACUUUUCCUUUCAAGCGAGACCGGCAGCACCAAGCUCAUCAGUCAACACACACACACACACACACACACACAUCAGACACACAUCACAGAACAAACCGAGGUCUUUGUCACGUUUAUCCAUACUGUAUAUAGACUGCAAAACUGGCAUUCAAAGCCACAUUGACAGUUUGGGCUGUUUAAUGGUCAGUGCUGCCGACGCCGGCUUACAGCAUGUUGAUCCCAUCAAGCUGUUAGGAACAAUGCGGUGUUGCGCAUCCAGCAGCGAGAGACGCAUUAACAUUCACUGCUGCCAUGUUCACAAAGGUCACACUCGUUUCCUGCCAUGUUUGCUGCCUCCUCGGCGUUCAGCAGUUAGUGUGAGACCAACAGACCCCGACCAUCAGCACAGGUCUGAAGAACGCCGGUUCUCUGAGGGUGGAGCAAACGCUCUUCAGGCAAACUGACUGUUUAAGUGGGACUCCAUCAUUGGACCCAUUCAAUCGCUUGCUGCUGGGUACGGUGGGAGGACACAUCCCCCCGGAUGCGCAGCAGUGAUGCUGAAGCAGGUUGAUAUAAACGCACUGGCCCUCCACAGCAUCCUCAGUGGGCGGGGGGGUGGAUGUGAACACACUAUGUAAUUGGUCGCUACAACGGCAGAGCCCAGAACAGCAUGCACCACGUUGAAGGAAGACACCACAGCACACAGACACCUGCUCUGUGCCUGUUAACACAUUGAUCUCUGCUUCCUGAAUUAGCUUUUCAGGCAGAAGCGUCUCUCCAUGUUGACCUUGAGAUAGAUGUGAGGGUGGAAACAGCAGGAGGCUGAAAAGGAAAGUGUCCAACCCGCAUCAGUCACUGUAGCGUAAACAGUCGAGUCCGUGUAUUUCUGUAUCCGUGCGGUUCACACGCACUUUAAGUGUAUAGAAAUUCACACAUGCAUGUGUUGUGUCAUUAUACGGUCAUUGUCUGAAAGGCUCUUUAAACAGCUCCGCAGAGUUGAAUGGAUUAAAUUGAGCAAUUUAAUUGAGCAUUUAUUCCAGCGCUGCCGGUGAAGCCCAGUAACAGCUGGAGCACUAACGCAGCCACACAAGCGAUGGGGAGGUUCUGUUGUCUCUGCUGCGAGAGGAACAACUUAUGCACGACUGAUAUUGGCUCUGUGUGUAUUUAAAGUCUUGGGCUUCGGUGCUUUUCUACUUCCGUCUCCCACGCAGCAGCAAAACCAACAAACAGAUGUAAAUAGAUACCGAGAAUCUGCUUUGCUGAAGACACAAUGAAAGCUCCUUCUGAUUUGAUGCGUCUAAAUAUUGUCUGCGCUCGUGUGUAACAGAGCAGAUGCUGAAGCUGUAACUCCACGAUAACUCACUCACUGCAACUAAUGAUCCUGCUGAGAUAAACAGAUGAAGAGUUCAAAACACGAGCGGAGUUGAAAAGCACUGCAGCAAAGGGAACCAAACUCCAGUCUCCAGCAGACGACCAUAUGUCCGUCCACGCUCCAAAUGCAAUAUUGACUCGGCUGGAGUUGUGGGAAUGUGCUGUGAUUGAGGAGUGGCUCGCUGCUCUGCAGCGGCGUCUCGACAGGAACGUGACCGGUGAUGGGUCAUAAUGAAAACCCUCUGGAGACGUGAUUGAUUCACUCGCAUCAGCUCACCUCUGUUUUCAAUUUCACCCAAUGUAAUCAUGUAUAUGCGCGUUUGCAGCAGCUCCACUUCAUCCAGUUACAAAGCAAACUGCAGCCAGCAGGAGGGAGAAUGAUGUGAUCUGUCGCUGCUGCACCACAAACAAAUGCAAAUUCCCCACACGGCAAAACUAAUACACAGUUUUGCUCACAUGGAAGGUAAAUAGAGUUACGUGCGCCAGACAGCGGGUCUAAAUCAAAUGUGCUGAAGGAGAACAGCAGCGUGUUCUGUACGUAGGCCGCAGUAAUGUUAUAACCACAAAUGAAAACUCUAUUUAUGCUUGGCAACAAAAGAACAUAUCGAUUUCUGUCACAGCUCAGAAACACUGAAUGCAGGAGCACGACAUGGAGACGAGGACGAAGCAGCACGAACCUGUCACGAUUAUUAAACGCUGAUCACAGCUAAGAGGCUGGACGAGGAGCGGAGCAGAAAACACAGGAGGUCAAACGCCAGGCAGCUAACAGGCGGCGUGACAGCUCAGAGGAGCCGCCGGCAGGUAAACGCUGGCAUCCGUCCACCAUUUACUACGGUGAACAUCAGACGGAUCAAGGACGGAUCAAUGAUGGACAGACGGACGGAAGGAUCAAUUAUGGACGGACAGAAGGAAAGAUCAAUUAUGGACGGAAGGCCUUUGUAACUUUGUUAUGCAGUUAGGUUUUGUAAUCAUUUUAUCUCUGUUGUGGGUUAUAGUAUUUUCUGUGAUUUAAGCUAUGAAUAACGUGAAAUUCAGGCCACAAUCACAAACUUAUUGAAGGUUUUUGGAUGAGAGAGAGCCUCUAGUUUUGGCUUUUGAAUAAACACUGGCAUGGAACCCAUGGAGACAGACAGAGGGCAUAUCUGAUCCACACAGCGCCACACGAGUCCGACUUUCUUUUAGCGCUGAACUGACUCAGUUCCAGGCUUUUGGGUUUACAAAGAACCAAUCAUCAUCGUGCAAAUUCCUAAAGAGAAAAUACGCGAGAAAAGGAAGAAUAAGAUGCUUUUAAAGCCGUUACCGUUUAUCUCAGCCGAACCGAUGCAGC